rnacentral:rRNA from 1 species
CGCGUAGGCGGUCUUGUCGGUCAGAUGUGAAAGCCCAGGGCUCAACCCUGGACGUGCAUUUGAAACAGCAGGACUUGAGUACGGGAGAGGAAAGCGGAAUUCCUGGUGUAGAGGUGAAAUUCGUAGAUAUCAGGAGGAACACCGAUGGCGAAGGCAGCUUUCUGGACCGAUACUGACGCUGAGGCGCGAAGGCGUGGGUAGCGAACAGGAUUAGAUACCCUGGUAGUCC